ACUUGAUGAUAUUAUUGCGUGUCUAACAAAAUAGUUCCCCGUAUUAAUAGUUUUUUGUUACUUUUUUUACCUGAUGAUUUGGUUUUUUUCUUUGUAAACUUGUUAUUCACUUGUACUGUAUGGUCUAGAUUCAGAUCGCUUUAUACGUGCACUGGAGCUUCCUCAAGUCCAGGAACAUAUCAGAGAACUUAAAGAAAGAUUUGUUGGGCGGAAGUUUUAUGGUGCAACAACAUUUUUCAUUCAUAGAUCAGACUUUAGUGUCUCCUUGAUUAUGCUUUAUAUGAAGGUUGGAGAGAAAGACAGUUAAGAGGAAAAGAGUUUUUGCUCGAACAUAUUGUUCACCUUCUUGCCAAUGAGCAAUCACAACUUCAUGUUCUUGAAGAAGCUAAACCCG